rnacentral:rRNA from 1 species
AGAACGAACGCUGGCGGCAGGCUUAACACAUGCAAGUCGAACGGUUGUAGCAAUACAGCAGUGGCGCACGGGUGAGUAACGCGUGGGAACGUACCCUUCAGUCGGGAAUAACAGCGGGAAACUGCUGCUAAUACCCGAUAUUAUCUCCGGAUGAAAGAUUUAUCGCUGAAGGAUCGGCCCGCGUCAGAUUAGCUAGUUGGUGAGGUAACGGCUCACCAAGGCUCCGAUCUGUAGCUGGUCUGAGAGGACGACCAGCCACACUGGAACUGAGACACGGUCCAGACUCCUACGGGAGGCAGCAGUGGGGAAUAUUGGACAAUGGGCGAAAGCCUGAUCCAGCCAUGCCGCGUGAAUGAUGAAGGCCUUAGGGUUGUAAAGUUCUUUUGCCAGGGAAGAUAAUGACGGUACCUGGAGAAUAAGCACCGGCUAACUUCGUGCCAGCAGCCGC